rnacentral:rRNA from 1 species
UACGGAGGGUGCAAGCGUUAAUCGGAAUUACUGGGCGUAAAGCGCGCGUAGGUGGCAAGUUAAGUCGGAUGUGAAAGCCCAGGGCUCAACCUUGGAACUGCAUACGAUACUGGCUUGCUAGAGUACAGCAGAGGAGUGUGGAAUUUCAGGUGUAGCGGUGAAAUGCGUAGAGAUCUGAAGGAACACCAGUGGCGAAGGCGGCACUCUGGGCUGAUACUGACACUGAGGUGCGAAAGCGUGGGUAGCAAACAGG